rnacentral:rRNA from 1 species
UACGUAGGUGGCGAGCGUUGUUCGGAGUUACUGGGCGUAAAGAGUGCGUAGGCGGUUUUCUAAGUUUGGUGUGAAAUCUCCCGGCUUAACUGGGAGGGUGCGCCGAAAACUGGAAGGCUUGAGUAUGGGAGAGGUAAGCGGAAUUCCUGGUGUAGCGGUGAAAUGCGUAGAUAUCAGGAGGAACACCUGCGGUGUAGACGGCUUACUGGACCAUAACUGACGCUGAGGCACGAAAGCGUGGGUAGCAAACAGG